GCAGUGGUGGUUCAGGGGUAGAAUUCUUGCCCUCCAUGCAGGAGACUCGGGUAUGAUUCUCAGCCAGUGCG
rnacentral:tRNA from 1 species